GCCCAGAUGGCGGAACUGGUAGACGCGUCAGACUCAAAAUCUGGUGUCCGCAAGGAUGUGCAGGUUCGAUUCCUGUUCUGGGCAC
rnacentral:tRNA from 1 species